UGCGNUGCUAUACAUGCAGUCGAGCGAACGGACGAGAGUGCUUGCACUCUCUGAUGUUAGCGGCGGACGGGUGAGUAACACGUGGGUAACCUACCUAUAAGACUGGGAUAACUUCGGGAAACCGGAGCUAAUACCGGAUAAUAUUUAGCUUCGCAUGAAGCAAUAGUGAAAGACGGUUCUGCUGUCACUUAUAGAUGGACCCGCGGUGUAUUAGCUAGUUGGUGAGGUAACGGCUCACCAAGGCAACGAUACAUAGCCGACCUGAGAGGGUGAUCGGCCACACUGGGACUGAGACACGGCCCAGACUCCUACGGGAGGCAGCAGUAGGGAAUCUUCCGCAAUGGACGAAAGUCUGACGGAGCAACGCCGCGUGAGUGAAGAAGGUUUUCGGAUCGUAAAACUCUGUUGUAAGGGAAGAACAAGUACGUUAGUAACUGAACGUACCUUGACGGUACCUUACCAGAAAGCCACGGCUAACUACGUGCCAGCAGCCGCGGUAAUACGUAGGUGGCAAGCGUUAUCCGGAAUUAUUGGGCGUAAAGCGCGCGUAGGCGGUCUCUUAAGUCUGAUGUGAAAGCCCCCGGCUCAACCGGGGAGGGUCAUUGGAAACUGGGAGACUUGAGUGCAGAAGAGGAGAGUGGAAUUCCAUGUGUAGCGGUGAAAUGCGCAGAGAUAUGGAGGAACACCAGUGGCGAAGGCGGCUCUCUGGUCUGUAACUGACGCUGAAGUGCGAAAGCGUGGGGGAUCAAACAGGAUUAGAUACCCUGGUAGUCCACGCCGUAAAACGAUGAGUGCUAAGUGUUGGGGGGGUUUCCGCCCCCUCAGUGCUGCAGCUAACGCAUUAAGCACUCCGCCCUGGGGGAGUACCGGUCGCAAGACUGAAACUCAAAGGAAUUGACCGGGGACCCGCACAAGCGGGUGGGAGCAUGGUGGUUUAAUUCGAAG
rnacentral:rRNA from 1 species